UAGGGAAUCUUCCACAAUGGGCGCAAGCCUGAUGGAGCAACACCGCGUGAGUGAAGAAGGGUUUCGGCUCGUAAAGCUCUGUUGUUAAAGAAGAACACGUAUGAGAGUAACUGUUCAUACGUUGACGGUAUUUAAUCAGAAAGUCACGGCUAACUACGUGCCA
rnacentral:rRNA from 1 species